rnacentral:rRNA from 1 species
UUAAGCGACUAAGCGUACACGGUGGAUGCCCUGGCAGUCAGAGGCGAUGAAGGACGUGCUAAUCUGCGAUAAGCGUCGGUAAGGUGAUAUGAACCGUUAUAACCGGCGAUUUCCGAAUGGGGAAACCCAGUGUGAUUCGUCACACUAUCAUUAACUGAAUCCAUAGGUUAAUGAGGCGAACCGGGGGAACUGAAACAUCUAAGUACCCCGAGGAAAAGAAAUCAACCGAGAUUCCCCCAGUAGCGGCGAGCGAACGGGGAGCAGCCCAGAGCCUGAAUCAGUGUGUGUGUUAGUGGAAGCGUCUGGAAAGGCGCGCGAUACAGGGUGACAGCCCCGUACACAAAAAUGCACAUGCUGUGAGCUCGAUGAGUAGGGCGGGACACGUGGUAUCCUGUCUGAAUAUGGGGGGACCAUCCUCCAAGGCUAAAUACUCCUGACUGACCGAUAGUGAACCAGUACCGUGAGGGAAAGGCGAAAAGAACCCCGGCGAGGGGAGUGAAAAAGAACCUGAAACCGUGUACGUACAAGCAGUGGGAGCCUCUUAAUGGGGUGACUGCGUACCUUUUGUAUAAUGGGUCAGCGACUUAUAUUCUGUAGCAAGGUUAACCGAAUAGGGGAGCCGAAGGGAAACCGAGUCUUAACUGGGCGUUAAGUUGCAGGGUAUAGACCCGAAACCCGGUGAUCUAGCCAUGGGCAGGUUGAAGGUUGGGUAACACUAACUGGAGGACCGAACCGACUAAUGUUGAAAAAUUAGCGGAUGACUUGUGGCUGGGGGUGAAAGGCCAAUCAAACCGGGAGAUAGCUGGUUCUCCCCGAAAGCUAUUUAGGUAGCGCCUCGUGAAUUCAUCUCCGGGGGUAGAGCACUGUUUCGGCAAGGGGGUCAUCCCGACUUACCAACCCGAUGCAAACUGCGAAUACCGGAGAAUGUUAUCACGGGAGACACACGGCGGGUGCUAACGUCCGUCGUGAAGAGGGAAACAACCCAGACCGCCAGCUAAGGUCCCAAAGUCAUGGUUAAGUGGGAAACGAUGUGGGAAGGCCCAGACAGCCAGGAUGUUGGCUUAGAAGCAGCCAUCAUUUAAAGAAAGCGUAAUAGCUCACUGGUCGAGUCGGCCUGCGCGGAAGAUGUAACGGGGCUAAACCAUGCACCGAAGCUGCGGCAGCGACGCUUAUGCGUUGUUGGGUAGGGGAGCGUUCUGUAAGCCUGCGAAGGUGUACUGUGAGGUAUGCUGGAGGUAUCAGAAGUGCGAAUGCUGACAUAAGUAACGAUAAAGCGGGUGAAAAGCCCGCUCGCCGGAAGACCAAGGGUUCCUGUCCAACGUUAAUCGGGGCAGGGUGAGUCGACCCCUAAGGCGAGGCCGAAAGGCGUAGUCGAUGGGAAACAGGUUAAUAUUCCUGUACUUGGUGUUACUGCGAAGGGGGGACGGAGAAGGCUAUGUUGGCCGGGCGACGGUUGUCCCGGUUUAAGCGUGUAGGCUGGUUUUCCAGGCAAAUCCGGAAAAUCAAGGCUGAGGCGUGAUGACGAGGCACUACGGUGCUGAAGCAACAAAUGCCCUGCUUCCAGGAAAAGCCUCUAAGCAUCAGGUAACAUCAAAUCGUACCCCAAACCGACACAGGUGGUCAGGUAGAGAAUACCAAGGCGCUUGAGAGAACUCGGGUGAAGGAACUAGGCAAAAUGGUGCCGUAACUUCGGGAGAAGGCACGCUGAUAUGUAGGUGAAGCGACUUGCUCGUGGAGCUGAAAUCAGUCGAAGAUACCAGCUGGCUGCAACUGUUUAUUAAAAACACAGCACUGUGCAAACACGAAAGUGGACGUAUACGGUGUGACGCCUGCCCGGUGCCGGAAGGUUAAUUGAUGGGGUUAGCGGUAACGCGAAGCUCUUGAUCGAAGCCCCGGUAAACGGCGGCCGUAACUAUAACGGUCCUAAGGUAGCGAAAUUCCUUGUCGGGUAAGUUCCGACCUGCACGAAUGGCGUAAUGAUGGCCAGGCUGUCUCCACCCGAGACUCAGUGAAAUUGAACUCGCUGUGAAGAUGCAGUGUACCCGCGGCAAGACGGAAAGACCCCGUGAACCUUUACUAUAGCUUGACACUGAACAUUGAGCCUUGAUGUGUAGGAUAGGUGGGAGGCUUUGAAGUGUGGACGCCAGUCUGCAUGGAGCCGACCUUGAAAUACCACCCUUUAAUGUUUGAUGUUCUAACGUUGGCCCCUAAUCGGGGUUGCGGACAGUGUCUGGUGGGUAGUUUGACUGGGGCGGUCUCCUCCUAAAGAGUAACGGAGGAGCACGAAGGUUGGCUAAUCCUGGUCGGACAUCAGGAGGUUAGUGCAAUGGCAUAAGCCAGCUUGACUGCGAGCGUGACGGCGCGAGCAGGUGCGAAAGCAGGUCAUAGUGAUCCGGUGGUUCUGAAUGGAAGGGCCAUCGCUCAACGGAUAAAAGGUACUCCGGGGAUAACAGGCUGAUACCGCCCAAGAGUUCAUAUCGACGGCGGUGUUUGGCACCUCGAUGUCGGCUCAUCACAUCCUGGGGCUGAAGUAGGUCCCAAGGGUAUGGCUGUUCGCCAUUUAAAGUGGUACGCGAGCUGGGUUUAGAACGUCGUGAGACAGUUCGGUCCCUAUCUGCCGUGGGCGCUGGAGAACUGAGGGGGGCUGCUCCUAGUACGAGAGGACCGGAGUGGACGCAUCACUGGUGUUCGGGUUGUCAUGCCAAUGGCACUGCCCGGUAGCUAAAUGCGGAAGAGAUAAGUGCUGAAAGCAUCUAAGCACGAAACUUGCCCCGAGAUGAGUUCUCCCUGACUCCCUGAGAGUCCUGAAGGAACGUUGAAGACGACGACGUUGAUAGGCCGGGUGUGUAAGCGCAGCGAUGCGUUGAGCUAACCGGUACUAAUGAACCGUGAGGCUUAACCUU